rnacentral:rRNA from 1 species
GAGCCCGGAGAUGGAUUCUGAGACAUGAAUCCAGGCCCUACGGGGCGCAGCAGGCGCGAAAACUUUACAAUGCGGGAAACCGUGAUAAGGGAACACCGAGUGCCAGCAUCAUAUGCUGGCUGUCCAGAUGUGUAAACUACAUCUGUUAGCAAGGGCCGGGCAAGACCGGUGCCAGCCGCCGCGGUAACACCGGCGGCCCGAGUGGUGACCGUUAUUAUUGGG